UAAACGGCAGUUCCCCUGGCCUGUUCUCUCUCACCUGCCGCCAUGGAAGACGCUGCUGCUUCCCCUUCCACCAUGAUUGUUAAGUUUCUUGAGUUCUCUUCAGCCAUACAGAACUUGCUGGAUGCUUCCUGCCCUCAAACAUCAGACUCCAAGUUCUUCAGCUUUUGGACUCUUGAUCUUACACCAGUGGUUUGCCAGAGGCUCUUGGGCCUUUGGCCACAGACUGGAGGCUGCACUGUCGGCUUCCCUACUUUUGAGGUUUCGGGACUCGGACUGAUCCACCACUGACUUCCUGGCUCCUCAACUUGCAGACAGCCUAUCGUGGGACUUUACCUUGUGAUCGUUGCGCUGGCCAGAACCUCCCCUUCAAUGUUGAAGAGAAGUGAUGAUGGUGGUCACCCUUUUUUCCCUCCCAAUUUCAGGGAGAAGCUUCUCUCCUUGGCGCUGUUUCCCAUCCACCAGCUCAAGAUCAUUCCAGUGUAUCUGAUGAGAUCUCAGACUUUCAGAAAAGCGAUUCUUGGAAUGCCAUCUGGCUAACCAUUAGAUAUGUCCAGACAGACACUUUGCGGAUUGUCUUCAGCAAGGAAGAAAAAUAGAAGGGAGUCUCAGAACUAUUUAUACAAUUAUCCUGCAGGCUUUGGCCUGGAAAACAAGAAACUAGGACUUUCAGGUUUUUGAUUGCAUUUCUUCUUUCCUAUAUUUCAUAAAGUUUAAAUUAUAACCAUCUGUUUCAGAAGAUAUAAAAAUCCUGAUUCCAUCUUCUUCCACGUUAACAGAAUACUAACCCUGUAGGGAACCUUAUAUCAACGGAGGCACUCAAUGAUGACUAUAGUAAAAUCACAGGGAAAAACAAGCACCAAGCUGCAGUUCAUUGCCUGUCCUGCCUACCUCAUUGGCCUCCUGCACCUGCUGAUAAAAGGGGCAUCUCUCUCUAGAAGGCAUCUCAUCAGGCAGAUGUUUCCCUGUGUAGCUGUAUUGACACUGACACUAUGUUUUCUGCUUAUUUGAUGACGGUGUUGAGAAGGAAGAGGAUGGCAAUGAUGAUAAAACCUCUUUUUCUUCCAACUCUCAUUAGACCAUUAUUCUUUUGCUCAUCUUUAAUUCUCAAAAUAUCCCCAAAUCAUUCCUGGUGAAUUCAUAGGCAUUUCACACUUUGUGAUUAAUUUAAUUUGCUUGCAGUCUUACCGCCUAUAGGACAGCGUGGGUGUGAAAAACACCACUCUAAAAUUCACCAUCUGCAAUGAGUCUUACCCUAUUCCCCACUCCGUCACUUCUCCCCUCUCAAUUCUGUAUGUAAUCCUCUGUAUCUUUCCAAUAAGCUGGAGGCAAGACAUGACAUUAUGGCCACAUAAAAUCGCCUUUUCUUAUGGUCCAGG